rnacentral:rRNA from 1 species
UGGGGAAUAUUGCACAAUGGGGGAAACCCUGAUGCAGCGACGCAGCGUGCGGGAUGACGGCCUUCGGGUUGUAAACCGCUUUCAGCAGGGAAGAAGCGCAAGUGACGGUACCUGCAGAAGAAGUACCGGCUAACUACGUGCCAGCAGCCGCGGUAAUACGUAGGGUACGAGCGUUGUCCGGAAUUAUUGGGCGUAAAGAGCUCGUAGGUGGUUGGUCACGUCUGCUGUGGAAACGCAACGCUUAACGUUGCGCGUGCAGUGGGUACGGGCUGACUAGAGUGCAGUAGGGGAGUCUGGAAUUCCUGGUGUAGCGGUGAAAUGCGCAGAUAUCAGGAGGAACACCGGUGGCGAAGGCGGGACUCUGGGCUGUAACUGACACUGAGGAGCGAAAGCAUGGGGAGCGAACA